AAUAGAUACCCGGGUAGUCCACGCCGUAAACGAUGAGUGCUAAGUGUUAGAGGGUUUCCGCCCUUUAGUGCUGCAGCUAACGCAUUAAGCACUCCGCCUGGGGAGUACGGUCGCAAGACUGAAACUCAAAGGAAUUGACGGGGGCCCGCACAAGCGGUGGAGCAUGUGGUCUAAUUCGAAGCAACGCGAAGAACCUUACCAGGUCUUGACAUCCUCUGACAACUCUAGAGAUAGAGCGUUCCCCUUCGGGGGACAGAGUGACAGGUGGUGCAUGGUUGUCGUCAGCUCGUGUCGUGAGAUGUUGGGUUAAGUCCCGCAACGAGCGCAACCCUUGAUCUUAGUUGCCAGCAUUUAGUUGGGCACUCUAAGGUGACUGCCGGUGACAAACCGGAGGAAGGUGGGGAUGACGUCAAAUCAUCAUGCCCCUUAUGACCCGGGCUACACACGUGCUACAAUGGAUGGUACAAAGAGCUGCGAACCCGCGAGGGUAAGCGAAUCUCAUAAAGCCAUUCUCAGUUCGGAUUGUAGG
rnacentral:rRNA from 1 species